UGACAUGUUAAAGACUCAGGAGAGUUGUAGUUGCAGUCCAAAGGCAGCCUUCUGGCAAGCCAGGAAGAACUCGUGUUGCAGAUGAUGUAUUCAGUCUGCUGGAGAAUUUCCUCUUGCUUGGGUGGGACGUGGAGCAAGGCACUGCCUUCAAGGAGUUCUCAAGGGCUUGAACCAAGAGUUUCACGAAGGAUAUGAAUACAAUUCUGGAAGAAAAUUACAUGAUGAUUUUAUUAUUGUUGUGGUUGCGUGGAAUAGGACAUUAUCUAUGAUAUUUGCUUGGAAUGGCAUUAGAAAAUUAGCCUUGUCCUAAGAUGCUUUCACCUGAUUUCUAAAUCAGAAUUUCUAAAUUUAAUUGUAAGAAAAUUGUAUCUUAAGUCAUGUUACAUAUUCUCCUGAAGAAUAAAAACAUACAUGAACAGAA